UGAAAAUAAUAAUUCAUUGUAAUCAUACAUUUUUAAGCACAAAUUUUUAAAUGGUGUCACGGAUUCUCUCCGCUUGCACACCACUUACAAUUAAUCAAAUCUUGUCUCCCCUGGUCACAAUCUAAGAUAAAGCUUGUACCCAAGCACCCAAGAGAAGGAAUGACAAGAGGGGGAAACACCCCCAUUCAGUCUCAUCCUCUUUCAGACUGGUGAACUUGUUCAUAACUUUUUUGUUUUUAUAUAAAUAAUAAUACAAAGACUUUCAUAAAAUCACAUUUCAAUAGAGGAAAUAAAUUCUAAAACACAUUCCAGGAUUUCCAGUAUGAUCAUGAAGUCUGCUGCAGCAAAGGUCCAGAAAAAAAUAUGGCAAUAAAGGUCUAUAAAAUGAUGUUCAUAACUUGUGCGCUUAGACCGUGAACAAGAAAGGGAGAUUGGAUUUGUGAACCUUUCAGUGAAAGAACAUUUGCUUCUGACAACGUAAACUUGAGAGAGAUUUUGGGGAUAAAAAUCGAGUUUCCUUUCUUGUCAUUCCAUCUCUUCAGUGACACCAACUCAGUCGUACAGAAUAGAAUCUAGCAAAAAGAGGAUAGCUUCCCUUGUAUGCACUACAGCAUAUAAAUCAGAGAUUCUCUCCCUUGUACACUAAAAUAUUCAAACAACUACUCUCUAUGUACACAAUGCAAACCAAAGCGCACAUAAUUUACACACUAAAUCUCAUACACAUAUGCAGCACAGACACCACCAUUAACACGUUGCACUUAUACACCAUAUGUAACACAGACACACCCUCACCAACACAUAUGGGUUACAAACAUGCAGCCCCCCCCCUCCCCGCACACAUACAAAUCCAACACGCCUCAGUGAGUGCAUGUCUAACAAUUAAUCAACUAUGAACACAAACCAAAAAAAAGAGAAACACAGAUAAUUGUCUAUAUUACAAAAUAUGGCAGAACUAGUCUCCACAGUGUAGACCGUGAGUAAACAUAACUUGAAGCUAUGCAACACUGCCUUCACUAAGUCAAUAGUAAAAAAAAAAAAAAAAAU